rnacentral:rRNA from 1 species
UACGGAGGAUGCAAGCGUUAUCCGGAAUUAUUGGGCGUAAAGCGUCCGCAGGUGGUUUAUCAAGUCUGCUGUUAAAGCAUGGGGCUUAACCCCAUAUCGGCAGUGGAAACUGAGAGACUAGAGUAUGGUAGGGGUAGCGGGAAUUCCCAGUGUAGCGGUGAAAUGCGUAGAUAUUGGGAAGAACACCAGCGGCGAAAGCGCGCUACUGGGCCAAAACUGACACUCAUGGACGAAAGCUAGGGGAGCGAAAGGG